AGUGGCAUAUACUGUAAAUGCAAUAAACAAAUACAUGCUGUCUGAUCUUCGAAGCUAAGUACGGUCAACCCUGAUUAGUACUUGGGAUGGAAGACCAUAUUUCAGAGGAAGGAACUGGGAAAGCCACUU
rnacentral:rRNA from 11 species